UACGUAGGGGGCAAGCGUUGUCCGGAAUCAUUGGGCGUAAAGAGCGUGUAGGCGGCCCGGUAAGUCCGCUGUGAAAGUCCAGGGCUCAACCCUGGGAUGCCGGUGGAUACUGUCGGGCUCGAGUCCGGAAGAGGCGAGUGGAAUUCCUGGUGUAGCGGUGAAAUGCGCAGAUAUCAGGAGGAACACCAGUGGCGAAGGCAGCUCGCUGGGACGUGACUGACGCUGAGACGCGAAAGCGUGGGGAGCAAACAGG
rnacentral:rRNA from 1 species